rnacentral:rRNA from 1 species
GAUGAACGCUGGCGGCGUGCCUAAUACAUGCAAGUCGAGCGAAGAGACGAGGAGCUUGCUCCUCUGACGUUAGCGGCGGACGGGUGAGUAACACGUGGAUAACCUACCUAUAAGACUGGGAUAACUUCGGGAAACCGGAGCUAAUACCGGAUAAUAUAUUGAACCGCAUGGUUCAAUAGUGAAAGACGGUUUUGCUGUCACUUAUAGAUGGAUCCGCGCCGCAUUAGCUAGUUGGUAAGGUAACGGCUUACCAAGGCAACGAUGCGUAGCCGACCUGAGAGGGUGAUCGGCCACACUGGAACUGAGACACGGUCCAGACGCCUACGGGAGGCAGCAGUAGGGAAUCUUCCGCAAUGGGCGAAAGCUUGACGGAGCAACGCCGCGUGAGUGAUGAAGGUCUUCGGAUCGUAAAACUCUGUUAUUAGGGAAGAACAAAUGUGUAAGUAACUAUGCACGUCUUGACGGUACCUAAUCAGAAAGCCACGGCUAACUACGUG